AGCAGUUUAUUCUAAACAGUGGAAGCACAAAAAUGUUCAGACUCUUUGGUCUUCUCAUUUUCAUUAACACUGCACUGACUACAGAUGUUGUUCAGCCCAGUCACCUGAUGAGGGUUCAGCUUGGAGACAGUGUGACCCUGACAUGCUUCUGUCAAGGAGAAACAACUUUUGUUACUUUGUUUAAGCAAGCUGUUGGUCGGAAGCCCCAGCCCAUGGCGAAAGCACUUCUCUACGUACCUGGUGAAUUUUACAAGGAAUAUAAAAGCAUAAAACGUUACUCCUUACUGAAUGCAGAGGGGAGUUUUAACCUCACUAUUUCUAACGUGGAGCCGUCAGAUUCUGCAGUGUAUUAUUGUGCUGCUGUGUUUCUUCAUGAGGUCACCUUCGGGAAUGGAACCUUUGUCAUAAUCACAGGUAAAGACUCCAACAGCAGGACUGUGGUACAGCAGCCUGUGUCUGACACAUUGCAGCCAGGAGACUCUGUGAGCCUGCAGUGUACGAUAGAGACUGGGAGCUGUGCAGGAGAACACAGUGUUUACUGGUUCAGACAUGGAUCAGGAGAAUCCCUUCCUGGAGUCAUUUACAGCCAUGGAAACAGCAGUGAUGAGUGUGAGAAGAGCCCUGAGGCUGGAUCUCCUACACGGAGCUGCGUCUACAGCCUCCCCAAGGGGAACCUCAGCCUCUCCGAUGCUGGGACUUACUACUGCGCUGUGGCCAUGUGUGGGGAGAUGCUGUUUGGGAACGGCA